GGGGCAGGGUGGGGUGGGGGGGUAACAAGAUGUUUCCAGAACCUUUAGAGGGUGGGAUCCUGGAACCAAGAUCCUUUCAAAGAGCAGGAAAACCUUGGCCGGAGGGAACGUGCACACGUCUGAUCUCCA